AACGAACGCUGGCGGCAGGCCUAACACAUGCAAGUCGAACGCACCGCAAGGUGAGUGGCGCACGGGUGAGUAACACGUGGGAAUGUACCCUUUGGUUCGGAAUAACGUCUGGAAACGGACGCUAAUACCGGAUGAGCCCUGCGGGGGCAAGAUUUAACGCCAAAGGAGCAGCCGGCGUCUGAGUAGGUAGUAGGUGGGGGAAAGGCCUACCAAGGCGACGAUCAGUAGCUGGUCUGAGAGGGUGAUCAGCCACACUGGGACUGAGACACGGUCCAGACUCCUACGGGAGGCAGCAGUGGGGAAUAUUGGACAAUGGGCGAAAGCCUGAUCCAGCCAUGCCGCGUGAGUGAUGAAGGCCUUCGGGUUGUAAAGCUCUUUCGCACGCGACGAUGAUGACGGUAGCGUGAGAAGAAGCCCCGGCUAACUUCGUGCCAGCAGCCGCCUAACAC
rnacentral:rRNA from 1 species